CAGGAUCUGAUCUGAUCUGUCCACCCAAGUUGUUUCAAUGUCUGCUUGGUGCUUCUCUUGCGUUUGAUGCUUCUGCGUGCAGUACGGCAGCAGUGGCUCCGAAGGUCUCUAGAGUUUAAUUACUUGCUUCAGCGUGCAGGGAGAGAUGAAACCACCGUUAUCGAGUGCCACUAAUAAGCAAUACUGAUGCUGCUUCUGCUGCGUGCUGCCAGAGCCUGAUCUAGGAGAAAAACUAUCUACAAGUUUACUCACAGAGCAGAGGAAGGAGCAGCCGAGCAGGAUCUGAUGCCCCAAGUUGCUUUGCUUCGAGCACACAAUCGGCGACAGAGUUCAGCCAGGCAAGAGAUCGGAGGAGCUGAUGGCUGAGGAAAUGAGGAGCAAGAGCAAUAAUGCAAUCAUCCACUGCGUCAACGCCAGUCUGUAGGUCGACGGUCACCAUAUGGAAUGGAGCCGCCACCGUUCACGAGCUAUCCUGAGUCUCUGGUCCCGGCAGACAGCGAAAAUGAGCCUUUAGGCACUGUUUAAUUUGGAAAUAAAAAAUUUUUAGAUGUCAUAUCGGAUGCGUUGGAAGGAUGUCGGAAGAGGUUUUUAGAAACUAAUAAAAAAACAAAUUACAUAGCUCGUCUGGAAACUGCAAGACAAAUCUAUUAAGCAUAAUUAAUCUGUCACUAGCACAUGUGGGUUACUGUAGCACUUAAGGCUAAUUAUGAACUAACUAGGCUUAAAAGAUUCGUCUCGCGAUUUUUAACCAAACUGUGUAAUUAGUUUAUUUUUUAUCUACACUUAAGGUUCCAUGCAUGUGUCUAAAGAUAUGAUGGGAUGGCUGAAAAUUUGUUGGGUGAAAAACUAAACAGGGCCAUAAAAAGAAGCGAAAUUAUGUUCGCAAUACAAAAAAAAGUAAUCAGACUACUUCUAGACAUUUACAACUUAUUUAUAUUUGGAUGGGUGCAUAUAAAGGCCUUGAUUAGUUCACUCUAAAAACCAAAAACUUUUUAAGAUUCUCCAUCACAUCAAAUCUUACGGUACAUGAACAUUAAAUAUAUAUAAAAAUAAAAACUAAUUUCACAGUUUGCUUGUAAAUCGUGAGACAAAUUUUUUAAGCCUAGUUACUCCAUGAUUGGACAAUGUUUGUCAAAUAAAAAUGAAAGUACUACAGUGUCAAAAUCUAAAAAAAAUUCGGAUCUAAAGAUGGCCAAAGCUGGGGGGCUCGUAUAUCAACUAGGUCAAAAAAUCAUCGAACCAAAUACAGCUUUGCUGGAAUAGAACAACCAACCAAACAAGCACGCCAUGUUCCUCGUCGCCAUCCAAUACAGUUAGCAGAGAUGCUGGCCACCGUGGGCCUGUUCCUCGUCGCCUCCAGGCUCUCGCUGCCCACCCAUCUAACCACACUAUUAUGUCCUUGUCACCUGUCGCCGUUUCCUGCAAACGUCGUCGAACGGGUGGCUCAAAUGACCAUUGCACCUUUAAGUUAACUGGUGUUCCAACUAUUUUUGUACUACCUCAUCAAGGAUACAACUACGUAUCAGUGUUCGUCAAAGUUAACCAAGCUAGUGAAUAAUAUUUACAUUUAUAUAUCUAAAUUUAUUUAUUAUGAAAAUAUAUUCUAUAAUAAAAGACAUGUAUGGGUGACAAUCUUAUUAAAGUAAGCACUAACGUAGAGAACACACAAAUACACCUCAUCAAUUUAUGUCUGCAUUAUAUUACAAAAACGUGACAAAGUUGAAAUUGUGUAGCUCCCAAACAAAUUGGCUUGUGUGGCCAACUCUAGCUAGACUGAAAAAGGAACAGCAUCUGAGGUUGUGAUCCCAACAGAAGAAUAGGCAGAAACCCAAAACAACUAAAAGGUUUGUAUUUGAGCUUAGGCUGAUAAAUGAGUAUUUUACAGCAAACAUAUUGAGAAGACCAUCUGAUUUUUGUACACUGACAAUGUUGUUUGUGAAACACUACUAUAUAUGGCACCACCACUCAGCUCAGUUGCUCUAAGGAAUAAAAAAAAUAUAAAUAGUGACUUUAAACUGCAAUUAGACGUCACAUGUACAAACACUAGAAAACCAUGAACUUCCACAAAGCUAUGCCAAGUGAAUAGAUAAAAGCUUUAGUUAAGAGAGAGGUGGUGUUAUUAGGGCACAGGACCCAUCACCAACCCCGACCCUGCCUACGCCUCUACGUUCCCAACCCCGACCCUGCCUACGCCUCUACGUUCCCAAGCUUUAGGCCGCCCUCUACUCCUAUGCCUCCAGUCCACGUUCGGGGGCACAGAUGAGUGCGGCAAGGCUGCCUACGUCGUCAAGCUCCUGCCCCCACUCGGGGAUGGGCCUCGUCGGUGGCGGCGCCAACGCGGCGGCCCUGCCUAGGAACGCGCUACCCACCGUCACCUCCCCGGCGGCCGCGAGUCUGGGGCCCUGCUCCCUGCAGCAAGGUGAGCACGGUUCUGCUCCCGGGGUUGAGGCCGAGCUAUUCGGGCCAUCGGUCCUCAUCGAGGAUGCUACAGGCAGCGAGGACGAGGAAGACGUUGUCGACAUGGUUGACGGCGAUGAUGCUGGUGGAGCUGCGUGGGUGUCCGUUCCAUUCCCUGACCAGGGCAUGUGCCAGCCUCGACGCCUUCCCGGUCCACCCAUCUACCCUCCGCUCCAAGUCCGUCGUCCACCUUGUCCCCCAAGGCCUAGCACGGCGGAAUGGACCAGGGCUCGACGUUGGGCAGAUGAGGACCUCACUGAUGCCUCCGAUGCGGAUUCGACGCCAAUCUCCAUGGCGCCCUAUCGGGACGCUAUUCGACAGGGGCCACAGCCAUCAAGGCCUUUAACGCGGGCAGCGCCGCCCCUGCUGCAUGCUCAGCCUCUACCUUUGGGCGGCGGCAAUGCGACGCCAGGCUUCCAGAGCGCUGGCCCAAGGAGGGGGAAGCGUCAUCAUCGGCCACGGCCACAGCUAGUGCACGCCAUGCCACCUCGCCCAGUGGAGGGCCACAUCUCGGCACAUCAGUGCCUCGGCUACCAUCGACGGGUCUCCACCCCUGACGCCGAUGGGUGGCGGGAGAUCCUCCACCGGCAGGUGAAGCGUCCGGCGACCGCCUCGGUUGUGCGUCUCAAGCCUGCUUAUGGGGAUCAGCCAGCAAGUCAUCGACCACCGAGGCAUAUCCCUACCGAUCUGGAUGGCAAGUGCCUCAAUUGCCUCUCAACCUCACACCAAGUGGUCACCUGCAAACUGCCCCAGCGUUGCCUGCAGUGCAAGGGCUUUCGACAUAUCGCGCGUGACUGCAAGUGGCCAAGGCACGCGGGCAAUUCAGUCUGGGCACAAAACCCGAAACCCGAUCCCCGAACCCAAAAAACCCGGACCCGAAACCGAAUUACCUGAACCCGCAGAACCCAAAGUCUAGUUCGGAUUUUGAUUCUCGAAACCCGAUCUUAUUUCGGGUAAAUUGGGUUAGGUAGCCUGGUACGCUAGAACCCGAAAUAAGAGUCUUCCCCGUGGUCGCGUCCCAGAUUUCCCGUGAGACCUCCUCGGGCGCUGCUUUCCUCAUUAAUCGCCAUCUUCAAUCCCCGCCUCCACGAUAGUUGCGUCGCCGCCGACGGCUCCACUCCCCGAGGCCGAGUCGCCUGCCUUCUCUCGCCUCUCUCUCCCUUCAAAAGGCCCGACGAACACGCGAGGCAAUGCUCCUCAUCCGGCUCGCGCCUACAUUCACCUCUACGCCUGCGCCGACACCGGACCCGGCAGAGGCAGAGCGCGACCGCGACCGUGAGAUCCGCGACAACGAGCUGAGCGAGAGCGACUGCGGUGCCGCCAUCACUCCAUCUCCUGUGCCGCUACUUCUCACCUCGUCGUCGGCGGAGAGGAAUUCCAGCGCCUGGGGACCUGCAGAAUCGUGCUCCUCGUGCAAUGUGAGUAUUCAUAUUCCCUAACUUAAUCCCUAUGGCCUUCUUGUUCUUGUUAUUUGAUUUAGAUCCAUGAAUCCUUCAUCUGUAUGUACUUUAGGUGUACUGUAUACACAAUUCAUUAUCUUGAGUAUUUUUUUUAUUAAGGCUAUCUUGAGUGAUUCUGUGUUUGUUGCCAACAUAUGUUUUCUAUAAGAUAAGGUUCCAGAAGUAGCGUGGUGAAAAGUUUGAGCUAUAUGAUUGAUAUAUCUUAGAUGACGUGCAUUGCUGAUAACAAUGCACUUACGUAUUUGCUACGAUACAGAUGAAACAUGUGCAGCUGUGAGCCUGUGAUCACAUUAGAAUUUUUAAAUUUUAACCAUCAAAUAUUUACUACACAGCAUGGAGAUCUCAGAGUCUGGAGUCUGGAUGGAGUUGGAGCCUUGGAGGCCUGUUGCAGAAUGCAGUUGCAGUGGGUGGCGUGGUGCUUGGAGCUCCGGAUGGCUCAACAUUUCUUUUGUUCUCAUCUGAAGCAUAUGCACUGGUGACUGGUGUGAUGGCAUGCAGCAGCCAGCAGGAUUCAACUUUUUUUAUUUGCUCUUAUCUUAUCACUUAUCAGUACUAAGUAGUCAUUAAGACAGUAAGACUGUGUCUGUGUCGUGGUUCACUAGUUCUGGUGUGGUACUGGUUAAAAACGUUAAUGCGUUCUGCUUAUCAUUUGUUGUUUAAUAUCAUUAAGUUUUUCAAUUCGUAUGCAUGUUUGAGUACAUUACAUAUUUUCGGGUACAUCAGGUAAACCGAACCCGAACUUGCGGGUACCCGAACAAUCGGGUUUUUUUUUCAGGGGCCUUAUCAGGUAACGAAUCUCAUUACCCGAACUCUCCAAAAACCCGAAUAACCCGACCCGAAGUUUUCGGGUAACCCGAACGCCCAGACUGACGGGCAAUCAUGUUCCGAGCAGUCAUGCCUUGGUUCGCUCCUUUGGGCUAACGGACCUUGGUGGUUUGUGUGGCCAUGGUAGAGCCACGACGAGCACCACGACCCCCUUCACAAAUGGUCGGUGUUGACCAAGGCAGAGGCGACGCAAGCGUCGAAGGCUUCGCGGGCAGGCGGCUGAGUAUGUGCAGACAGCACCGACCUCCACCUCGAUUGCUUCUGAAGCUCUGCCUAGGGGCAUCGCCUAGCCCGACGACAUCGCGACUGCAACAGGUGUUGCCACCAGGGCUGGCCAAGCGCCGCAUGGAUCCUCGGUGGUGGUGCCUGUGCUGUGCCUUCCUGAGCCCGACCCACUUGCGGAGGCGAUGUAUGUGGGCGAUGGUCCUCCUGCUUUGGUCCUCUCCUUUGACCUGAUGCUGGAGGAGCUCCUAGCCGCCGCAUUCAUCGUGAGCUGCUCGGUUGUGGUGGCUGCCUCCCCAGGGUCUGCGGAGUCGACUACGGUGGUGGCUGUCUCCUCACAUCAGCCAUCGGCGCAGGAGCUGGUGCAGCUCAUGCCUCCUCGAGUGGGUCAGACCGAUGUCGAGAUUGGCAACGACACGCCCACACAACGUGAGGCCGCCCAGCGCCUCACAUGGUUUCUUGAUGAGGUACGGGUCGUACGGGAGCCGCCACUAGUUUCCUCCUCAACACGGCAGAGGGCGAGAUCCAGGAGCCCCCUACCUAUCGGAUCGGUGCCCAACCGUUGGCACACAUACCGGCCUCCCGACAAGGUGAGGUACUCCUCAUGCAACGGAUGGGGAUCGCGCCGCCGGCCGCUCCGAUUUCAUCUGCGCCAAAGGGAUUACUCGACACCUUGCGUUCCGAAACUUUGUCUUUGGGCCAUGUGGAGGCCCUUGACAUGUUGUUUCCCACAUUCGACUGGCGUGCACGGGAGCUCUUCAGGGAAGACUGGUAGGACGCGCAUGUGUUCGCACAAUGGUUGUCCCAUUUUGCAAUAUCGGAUUAGGGUUCAGUCUGCUAGGUUGGUUCAGUUGCUAGACCACCUAGCACGCUAUAUGCGCGUUGUCUGUACUGCAAACUCUUUUCUUCUUAAUAGCAAUGAUACGCAAAUCUUUUGCGUAUUCAAGAAAAAAAAAGCUUUAGUUAAUGUUCAGAGCAUUUGCUUAGGCAGGGCAGGGAGUGAACAGAUAUAAGGUCCACAUUAUCAAAAACGAAAUCAAUAAUAGUGCCCAGACUAUAAACAAUGUCAACAAUAUUAUAUUACAGCCUCACUGGGAUACAAGCCUUUAAAUUUGAAACAAUUGUCCAAAAAGUUUGUCGAUAACUUAGCCCUCGUGCUUUGCUAUUUGAUUCAUGAUUUGUUGACUAUUGUGGGAUGUGCUCCAUGAAAAUGGUUCUCAGAUUACAAAGCUCCCCCACAUGAAAAUGGUUCUCAGAGUACAAAGCUCCCCCACAAUCAUGAUUUAUUUAUGGGCUUCUUGUUUGGCUAUUGUUUUAUUCAAAAUUUUUGUAAUAUUAUUUAUUUCAUUAUGACUUAUUUUAUUAUUAGAGAUACUUUAAUAAUAAUUUAUUUAUUUUAUUAUUUACAAAAAAAUUAAUAAGACAAAAAAAAGAAGUUUCCAAGUAAAAAUCAUUGCUUAUUUUAGGGCGAAGGGAUUAUGUAGAUUAUCCACUGUCUGUCGGCGGCCACCUGCCAUAUAUUAUGACAUAUUUUGUGCAGCAUGCAACCUACUUCCUACAUCCUGAAAUAGAUGAUGUAUUUUUAUUUAUCCUAAUAAGUCAAGACAUCAUCCAUCUUAUAUUUUGACCAAGUUAAAGGAAAGAACAAUAUUAUUUUUGACAUCAUAUAAGCUCCACUAGAAACAUUACCAAAGAUAUUUUUAUAAUAUCUUAUUUUGUUGCUGUGGCAAAAGUGAACCAUGUAUUUUUCUAUAAUUUCAAUCAAAUAUAUAUAAGGUAGGUUUAUUUAGAAUAAAUAAAAAUACUCAAUAUUCAAGGGCGGAAAGAGUAGUCAUCAUAAAUCGAAUGGGGAGUGGGGAUCGACAAUCCAGCAACAGCAGCAGGUGUGUAGGUAUACAGAUCACAGACGAGAAGGAGGCCUAGUGCUAGUGGACUACAUUAGCAGUGGCGUCACGCAGCAGAUAGUUGGCGCGGGAGGAGAGACCAAGACCAAGGAACUCGGCUUUGAAGAUGCGGUCGUCGUCUUCCUCGAGCCCCGCCGCGAGGCACGGCCGCACAACGAUCGCCCCUGAGAAUCCAGAGCCGCGUGCCAUCCCCAGGGCGCGUGGCGAUGCAGAGAGCAGGUCCGAGCAUACCCUUCCGAACGCGGUCCACCGGAAGCGGAAGGACCAGGGACGCCGGCAAAGCCCAAGUCCGCGUCCGUCGGGAACGACGACGACCACAUCGUCUGCACCACCGUCGUGCAAGACAACUGUGCAUAGUAUGACAAAAGUGAAGAAAAUGAAGGGUCAUACAGAAUAUAUUUUUCUAAACAAAUUAUAAAUGGGUAUAUAUAUACAUCAUGUUCAACAUAAACAGGACAUACUUUUUAAAAUGUGUUUGUUACCUUUUCUAGAAGUAGAGCCAAUCAUUUUUUUUUUCUGAGAUCGAAGUGCCAUGGAAAGACUGAAACUAACCUAAGAGUGCAAACCAUUGACUAGAAAAAAAGUCACACAACAGCAUCCAUGUUUCAGUAAAUCUUCCGAGAUUCAGAACGACAAGGCUGGAGUACGCUAAAGAUAUUCACCUGAUCGGAAACAUAUAUAGGCUUAUUGUUAGACGGAAAACCAAAGGCAUUAAUAAGGGAAAAAAUGUAUAACUAACCAGAACAAUGAUCAAAAAGCAGUAAACAACAUGCCGAACUUGUAAAUAGUUGUAUGAGACUACAGAUGUGAUUUACAGGCACUUACCAGUUUGAUGUACAGGGUGGAAGGCACGUGGAGAGAUUCAUGCUUUAGAAUUCAAAAUUGUGAAUAGAUAGAGAGAGAACCCAGAGGACAGAAUAAUACACAAAUAUGAAGAAAUGUCCUGCACAGCAGAUGGAAACAAACCGGUUACCUAGAAGAAAACAUAAAUUGUGAUCAAAUAAACGAGACAAGAAUGACUGAGGUUUAUGGGAUUAGGGAGAAGCAGGGAAAUUGGUGGGUUGGAAAUUCCACCUCUUUUUACCUUGGGUUUGUCAGGCAUUGACUAUUGGAAUGAUAUUUAUCAACUUGCGGCACUGCCUCCUUAGCUCCUCACUUCUGCUGUCACUGACAUAUAAUUCUCGCAGUGAACUUGGAAGGUCAUCCACCUCGGGCAGCGACCGUAUUGCUGGACAGUCUCUGAUCACUAACUUUCGCAGUGAAUCUGGGAGGCAAUCCUUGGGCAGUGACUGGAGUUCUGGACAACUCAUGAUAUACAAUUCUUCAAGUGAACUUGGGAGAUCAUCCUUGGGCAGCAUCUGGAUUGCUUUGGACGACCAGAUUUGUAACCUCUUGAGGUUGUGAAGUGUAUGUAGCCGUUCAGGGAGGGACUGCAGGUUACUGCUGCCAAAAAAUAUGAUACACUCAAGGGAGUCAACAAACAGAAGGGCCUCUUGCUGCUCUGUGAAGCGCCCCAACCUAUGAUCAUAUUGAAUUUUCAAUUUGGUGAGCGAGGAAAAGAUCAGGCUACGAUGAAUGGCCGCAGUAGUGAAUCCAGUCACAUUAUCUAUUUCGAGCUCCUGCAGUUUGGAGGAACAGGAUGGAAUCUCCUGUUCAUGCACCUGUGAGGGAUCGGAAUCAACAAAGAAAUUGGGCCUUUCCAUGACAGAUAAUUUGGUGAGAUGGCCUUGGGCGAGGAGAGACAACCAUCCCUCGCCUCUUAAAUCCCCACAGCUGGAUAUGUCUAAACUUGUGAGAGAGGUGAGGUUUGAUAGAGGCACUGAUGCCCGUGUGCCCACUGCUCCGUCAAUAGAAAGGUGUUCCAGGGAGUUGGGGAAGGGGAAAGAAGAAGAGAAGGAUGAAUAAGACGAGUAGGCGGACAGGAGCUUGGGGCAAUUGUUGAUUCGCAGCUGUCGGAGGGAGGUUAGACCUUGGAGCCCUCCUCCUCUUCCCCCAGUUCCUCCAUCUUCUUCGUUGCUGUCGUCAUGUGGAUUGGAGCGGAGGAGGCUCAGCUCUGGGCAAAACCAGAUCCGCAGCUCUUGCAGUUGGGGAGGCAAAAGCAACAUGCCACGUUCUGCUUCUUCUGAUGCAACUAUUUCGUCCUCUGCUGUUGGGUCCACAUUGUUAGCUGAACAUAAUGGUGCAGUUAUUUCUGUUGCCUGUUGCCCCGUCACACUCAGCCCUGUUAUUUUAGUUGUUGCCCCCAGCCAUAUAUCUGACAGCCUUGUAAAGUAAGUGAGUAGCUGUGUUAGCUGCUUCCCACUAGCAUUCCACUCUGGGAAGCAUAAAUGUUCAACUGGAAACUGGUAUUUGACAUGGCUGUCAGCUUGAACAAAUGGAAAGGCAUUACUGGAACAAGACAUCUCUAGGGUCCUUAGGGAUGAUAGAAUUUGUAAGCAACUUAGUGGUGGGGGUUGGCACCUCCGCAUCCUCAUCUCCUUCAGUCCAGUUAGGUUAUGAAAAUCCAGCACAUUUCAAAUCGUGCUAUGAAUUGUAUCCUUCUUUCUUUCAUCAAAAAAAUUUGUAUCAUUUCCCUCUAUUUUCAAAUAAUAUUCACGACUGAAAUUUCCUUUUCCACAAACCAAUUUAUCAAGACUUGAACUUCCGAUUCCUUGUAUAUUGAUGUUGCGUAGAGCCUUAUUCCAAGGAAUGGGAGGAAAUGAUAGUAGCUGUGGACAUUUCUUGAUCUCGAGCUCCAAGAGCCUAGGAAAUGAAUUUACAUUUGGCUCUUUCCUUUGUUGACAACAAGCCAAAUGUUGAAAGGACAACCCCUCUAGUUGAGAGCAACCACUGAUGAUAAGUACUUCCAAGAAACGAAACAACUGACAGGGAGCAUGUACAACCCACCUUUUCAACCAUGGUAAGUUUACAAGUUCUAGCCUUCUCAAAUUUUCAAACCUUAUGAUAGGGAUAUUAUUUGAUGUGCCAAGCCUAUCAACUGGCCACAAGUCUCCUAUAGGGGGAUAUGUUUUCCAAGCUACACCAUCUAGGCAGAGAGAUUCCAAACUUUUGAAGGAGAGGUUGGUACCAAGCCAGGAAGGGCAAGUGGUUCCUCUGUGCCCUUUAAUAGAUAACUUUAGAAGAUUGUUGUUUGGCUUAAGCCUUUCAAGAACAUGUUCUUCUAGUGUAUAGUCUAUGGGAGACCGGUCAAUAUUAAACCAAUGUAAUGUCAACUCUUGUAGUCGGCUUUUUUGCGACAGUUUUGCUUCAUCUACUUCUUCCUUCACGUGGACUUUUUCAAGAUUAUCAAUGCUCAAUGAUCCACAAAGGUGUACCAAAUGUCCUAUCUCCCCUAUUUCAAAACCUUUAUCUUCUUAACUCUUGUAGUGAUUUUAAUUUCCCAACCUCAACAAUACUAGAGUGUGUUGAAUCAUCUUGAACAUGAAAAUGACGCAAUUUUCCAAGGUUGCUCAUAUCUCUUGGUAAAACAUCGAUGUAAGCAUAAUGAUGUGCAUCUAGAACCAUCAUGUGAUAGAAUCUGGAAAGUUUGUUAGGAAAUCUUGCUUGACGUAGAGAAGAACCUCCAAUCCAAAGGUAGCGAAGAUGGACAAGAUGGUAAAAGUUGUGUAGCAAAUCUUCCACAUUAUAUGAUGUGUCAGAUAGAAAAAUCACACGAAGGGCCUUUGCUUCCCUAAAUAAAUCACAAAAAGCUUUCACAAAGCAACCAUGGAGUCCCCUAAAUAUCAUCAAAGUCUGCAGUUUUUCAACUUUUAAUCUUGUACCCAAUGUAUUGAUAUCCUCAACACUAUUUUUUAGAGUCAAUCUAUCCUUGGCACUAGUAUCAUCUAUGUUGAUAGACAAAUGGCGAAUUGAUGGUAGGACUUCUAAUGUGCUCACUUGAGAUUGAGAACUAUCUAUAUUAAGGCAUUCAAGUGAUGAAACUUUCCGUGCCAAUUCAUGUAAGAGAUCAUGAACAAUAUAAAAAGUUUGUCCAUCUUCGUCCACUUUGUUUUCCAAAAAUCCAUAAUUAAGCAACUCAGUCAAAUGACUUCGCCCGAUGUCUUCAACUCUUUUAUUUUGACCAUGUAAUGAAUGCAAGACUUCUUGUCCUAUCCAGAAGUUAACUAGUUCUUCUCUUUUGAAUCUGUAAUCUUGAGGAAACAAAGCACAGAACGAGAAGCACUGCUGAAGCUGAGAAGGCAGGUGAUCAAAGCUCAACUUCAGUGCAGACAUAAUGUCAUUCUUGCCGCUACUAUGCUCCCAUUCCUUACUUUCUAAGAUUCUAGUCCAAUGAGCCAAAUCAAGUUCGGUUUUCAACAAUCUACCAACAGUUUUUGCUGCAAGAGGGGAACCCUUUAGUCUACCAGCUAUCUUGAACCCAGUUUCUAGCAAGGAUGUGUGGUCCUUUCUAGAUUGAUCAUCAUCACCAAAGAUAACUUCUAGGAAUAAUUCCUCAAAUUCUUUAUUUUCUAAACCUUGCAAAUAUAUUGGCUGAUCGUUUUUUCGAACCACUAUUUGUGCUUGUCCUGGAAACCUUGUGGUGACUAUAAUUAUAUUACCUUGUACUUGUGAUUUUUGGAAUGGCACCAGUUGCUGUUUCCAUUCAUCCUCAUCACUGCAGUCCCAUAUAUCAUCUAAUACAAGCAAUAGCCUCUUAUUUUUCAACCUUUGCCGAAUUAACUCACCAGCAGUACCAUUACUACUUUCAUCAUCAAUUUUAGGGAUAUAUCCUUGAAUUUCUCCUAUCAGCUUAUUCACAUUAAAGUUGAGUGAUACUCAUGUCCAAACUUUGACAUCGAAACGGUCUUGCACUUCUGGACUGUGAUAUAUAUGUUGUGCAAGAGUUGUCUUUCCUAUGCCCCCUGGACCGCGAAGGUUCGACCUCUGUGCCCAAGCCUAGGAACCUUAGCAUUCGAAGCAUCUAGGAGGAAGUGGGCGAAUCCCCAACAGUUUCCCCCCUUUUGAGUGUGGGGCCAUUCCUAUGGGCCGUGGGCUCAAAACCUAGACCUCCCCCUACACUGGUGGGGGGGCGGAGGUUGUGGUUUCCCCUAGUGCGUAGGAUAUGACCAUUGUUGGUUAUUUAUGUUCUUUGACUAAAACUGUUGUUGACACGAUGGUUUCUCCCCGAGAAUCGUGAACGACGAUGGUUGCAGGUUGCCGUUGGGUCUCGAACACUGAAUCGCCAAAGGCUUCCCUAUAUAAGGGGGGGGGGUCGUGAGGUUUUCACACAGCCAUUUGCGCCUAGCCUUUCUUCUGCCUUCGCUCUCACUUGCCCUCUAGACACUUUCUAUUGUAGUCUGCAGUGGCUACUCAUCCUUCGCCUCGUCCUGUCCAAGCCAAUUUUGCUGGCCCUUUUCAUGAUUUGUUGAGCGUUAGGUCCGGAGGUUGGUUCCAUUGUUUUGAGGAGUGCAUGUUGGACAUUGCUACCGCUCAAGAAUUGGAAGAAGACAUGUCCGAUGUCAAAGGUCCCCGGCAAGGCGCGAAGGUUUGACCUCUGCGCCCAACCCUGGGAACCUUAGCAUUUGAAGCAUCUAGGGGGAAGUGGGUGAAUCCCCAACAAAGAGAGUGGUGGGUUUUAGCAUAAGUGCUUAUAUUUGUGAAAACAUUAAAUACUAAAAUUACGUAAAUUUGUGAAUAGAGGGGGUAUUAAGCUUGUUUCUAGGAGGUACUUUAUGUGAUUUUACUUUUAAAGGAAAGUGAAUUGAUACAUGUUAGUAAUCUCAUACCUUGUCUUAAGUUGUGCUGCAUAGGAUUUUAAAUAAUAUAAAAGAUAGAUGAACAUGAGAGAAAGAUGCUGUUGUUUUACAAAGCAACUUAAAAGACAACCGAUUGUAUGGGUUCUCAAUCAAAUCAUCUUCAUAUUACUUGUUGUAUGACGACUCUAUUUCCAUUAGAACUCAAGAGAGGUGUGGUAUUGGGACUUCUAAUUCUGCUAUGACUUGAGUGUCUUCUCUUGCAUGUAUGAGAGCUUUGGAAGGGACUAUAUAUAAACAAGGGGUGGAGGCCAUAGACAUAAACUAAAGCCUAUAAGGAGCAAUUAGGAGCGCUUAAGAGAAUUAGGAUAGAUAGUUCUAUUGUAUUAGAUUUUUGUGUGGGGCAAGAAUUAGUGUGUCUAGAGUGUCAAAUAGAGUUGUGGGAGAGCAACAAUCUCUUGUGCUCUUGGAGUUGUGAUUAUCGAAUUUGAGGCCGACUUCGCCAAAAUCCUAAUCUCUUAUCAUGUUUGCUUCAACAUCAACAUUUAGGAUUUUCUACUUGAUUCGUCUACAUCAUUCUACAUAUUGUUCAUGCUUGUCUCAUACUCACAAGAUUCUCUCAACAAUCUGAGGGCUCACUACUACAAAAAAUCUUUUGCGAGGCAUUUUGGAAUAGGCCUCGGAGGCGGGCAACAAUUCAAACCGCCUCGGUUAAUGCCUAGGAUUAACCGAGGCGGUCUUUUUUAUUAACAGAGGCGGUUACAAAUAACCGCCUUGCAAAAUCAAUUAACCGAGGCGGGCAUAUUAAGUUAAUCGCAUCCAAAAAUCAUCUAUUUUCGGAGGCGGUUGGCUAAAGAUGUCCGCCUCCAGAAAACAAUUUUUGGAGGCAGGCAUACUAUAAUGCACGCCUCUAAAAAGGUCAAAGCCCAACAGGGCCAAACGAGUGCAAUACACAUCUUCCAAUAUAAAUAUAAGAGAAUUAGGGUUCACACUUCUAUCUUUAUGAGACACCGAGCAGCACCGUUCCCCUUCCCUCUCCUUCGACACACCGAACCCCAACGUCGCCCCUCCCUUCCUCUCCCUCUGAGACCUCCCUCUCCCUCUCCUCGUGAGGACCAAGCCCUAGCGCCGCCCCUCCCUUCCUCUCCUCCCUCUCCUCCCGAGGACGCGCGGGGGCGAGCUCCCUCCCACGACAUGUCUCCACCACCACCAUGGCGUGCGGCCAGAUCUGAUGGCGGCGUGACCGGGGAGGCCAGAUCUGGUGCGCACUCCUCUUCUUCUCCACCAUGGUGGCCAAAGAGGGUGCAUGUGGCGGUGGGUCGCUGGAUCUAGCGGCAAGCGGUUGGAUCAGGCGUCUGGUGGCCUGAUCUACUGGCUACGCGUGGUCUAGGCUCCUUCCUCUUCCCCGAUGGCGCUGGAGAGGCAGCUGGAGCUGGGGUGAUGGACCGAUAGUGGCAGCACGAGGUCUAGAUAUGUGCGUCCUAGAUCCAGGCCCGUGUGGGAUUUUUUAUUUUUUUUAUGUAUUUUAAUCCAUUAACAAAGGCAGGCAAAGAAACUGUCUCCUUUAAUCCUCCAUUUGCCGUGGCCCUCAAUUGGAGGCGUUUUGUGUGCCCGCCUCGCAAAAUCAAUUUUGCCCGCCUCGGUUAAGUUUAUUGUAGUAGUGACUACUACGCAUAACUAGAGGUAUGAGAUUCUAACGUUAUAUGAUACUCAAUGCAAGACCUAUAAGGUAACACUAGUAUACUUAAUUACCCAAAGGAAUCCAAGAAUAAUAAGGUGAGGCUUGUACUAAUCUAGUAACCCGAUGGGCCGUCAUUUGAUCCUGGAAACUAACGUUUUGAUGGUCCAACAAACAUGGGUAUCAGACCAUGAAGAUCUUUCGGUGUCAGGUGUUCUGAUUGAGGAGCUAAAGUCGAUUACGUCCUUUAAUUUUAUUAGCUGUGAUUGUAUUCAUGUCCCUAGAGAUUGUAACAAGGCAGCUCAUGCCCUGGCUGCGCUUGGUGUGUGUAGCAUCGAAGGGAUGGAGCACUUUGAGUGCAAUGUCCCGGAGAGUGUCAGUGUAAUUGUUGUUGAUGAUUUGUCGACGCCAGUUCAAUGAAAAUCUACCCAAGUUCAAAAAAAAAGUAAUCCAAUGAGCCCUUUGGACAAUAGUUUGCCAUUAUCAUGCUUGUUAGAUUUAAAGUUCAUUCUAGGAGUCUAAAGUGGGACAUGAUAAGAAUGAAAUAAGAUUGUUUUUCUCUUCAUCAAAAAAAGCGAACGUCAAGGUAUUAAAGCUUAUUUUUUCCUUAAAAAUGUAACAGUUAAUGUUGAUUGGUAAGAAUAUUUGAGCUGCCGGUUUGCAUCCCACUAAAAAAUAAUGAAAAGGAAAUACUAUUUAUGGAUAUUUCCCACACAUUAUCCAUUAGUUUUCACUAAAGAAACAUAUCAAGUUGGUUUUAAGAAAAUAAGAAUUAAAUCACAUGUCAUGACUGCACCCCCAAAAAUUAACAUAUUCUAAAGUUUAAGAUACUUUCCAUACUCAAAUAAUGUAAUAAAGUUCAGAAAGGGCUGCUUAAUGGGGGAUAUAAGAUAGGAAAAAGUCUACGUAACCUCCCCCCAAAACUAUCUAGGGUGGAAUACUUCAUGCCCAAAACUAUAAAACCGGAUAUUCUACUCCCUAAACUUUCAAAAUCGGUCAAAUAACCCCCUAGAAUGGUUUUAGAGGGUGGUUUUGUUUUUUCCUUUUUAUUUAUUUCUGCUGAAUUUUUGAAAAAUCAUAAUAAAUCACAAAAAAAUCAUAAAAUGAAAAAUUCAAUUUUGUUAGACUUGUGAUGAGUAUAUCUACACAAUGAAUAUAUAAUAUGGUAUACUUUAGUACAAAGUUUUUUGUUGUAGCUUUAAAUCUAUAUUUUUCUAUAAUUAAUAAGAAUAAUUCAUAUAUGUAGUUCCUAUGGUUCAAUCGUGGAAAAAACUUUUAUGGUGGGCUCAUUAUUGUAUGCUUAAACUAUGAUAAAACUUUCAUACCCAUCGGAUCACGUAUAACUUAGUUAUAGAUUUAUUUAGCUUUAUUCUUGUUAAAUCUAUGCUUUAUCUAUAACUAAGUUAUAUGUGAGCAAAUGAGUAUAAAUUGUUACUAUAGUUGAAGCAUAUAAUAAUGAGCCCACCAUAGAAAUUUUACCACAACUGGACCAUAAGAACUACAUAUAUGAAUUAUUUGAAUUAAUCGUAGAAAAACAUAGAUUUAAAGCUACAACAAAAACUUUAUACUAAAGUAUACCAUAUUAUAUAUUCACUGUGUAGAUCUACUCAUCAAGAGUCUAACAAAUUUGAAUUUUUAUUUUAUGUUUUUUGUUAUUUAUUAUGAUUUUUCAAAGAUUCAACGGAAAUAAAUAAAAAAUAAAAAGACAAAACCACCCUCUAAAACCACUCUAGGAGGUUAUUUGAUCGGUUUUGAAAGUUCAGAGGGUAGAAUAUCUGAUUUUAUAGUUUGGAGGAUGAAGUAUUCUACUCUAGAUAGUUUUUUUUGGGGGGGGGGUGUUAUGUAGCCUUUUUCCUAUAAGAUAUCAUACCUGGUGUUCUACCAAUAAAUCUUUGCCAUUUUGAACACAACAACUUUCUUCUGCUACAUUAAGAUCUUCAAUUAUAUUUGAUACAUCUGGCCUUUUCUCCUUAUCAGGGUGCACACACUCCAAGGCUAUGUGGAUGCACUGUUUUACUAGUUGGGUAUGUAGUUCCGGUGAUGUAUACUUUGAUGACCUUUCGAAUCUGUUCCUCCAAUUACUUAGCACCUACACAAUUGCAUAAAUAAUAAGUGGGCUAGAGUGAUGGUACAUAUGAAGGAGCUCUGUUAGUCCAUCUUACUUUCUCUGUGAAGUGCUGGAAAUCUGCUUCGGUGCUUUGGCGAUGGUCUGGAUAGUCGUCCCUGCAGCCUUUGAGUAUCUCUAUGAUUAUGACACCCAAACUGAAUAUAUCUGCUUUCUUUGAGAUUAUGCCCCUGUCUAUGUAUUCUGGUGCCAUGUAUCCCCUGCAGUAGACAUCAAGAGUUUGAGAUGCGGCAAGUAUAAUCGAGACCAUACUAAGAAAACAAAUGAUAUUUGUUGUGGGGUGUAGCUUACGUGGUUCCGCGGCAAUUUGAAGAGACAGUUUUGGAUUUCUGUUCACUCAAAAACCUUGACAAACCGAAGUCCGCAAAUUUUGGAACCAUAGUAGUAUCCAUUAAUAUAUUUUGAGGUUUAAGGUCCAGAUGAAUAAUAUUGCGCCCAUGAAGGUAUUUCAAACCACUGCAUAUUCCCCUAAUUAUCUUGUAUCUUGUGUUCCACUCAAGACCUGAAGAUUCAUCUGUGGGAAUUUUUUCUAGACAUAAUUAAUCUUGUCAUACCAUGCUUAAUAAUAAGAGCAAUGAAACACAUUUUGUGUGGUUGAGUGCAGUACGUAAUAGUAAUAUCUAGCUUCUAACCAAAUUUGUUAUGUAUAGAUAGUCAAUUUCUGUCUGACCAAAUUUAUAAAGAAGACUCAUAUUGAUAACACCAAAUAGGAAUACUAUCAAGAUAUAUUUUAUGAUGGAUCUUAUCACACUUAUUUAGUACUUAUUAUAAAUACUAAGGCUAUAUAUAUAUAUUUUUGUAUAUUCUUGUUCAAAUUUAAGAUGUUUUCACUCAACUGCUGGUUCGUUGCCAGGCGUUGCCUCAUCGGAAACUUCUUGUGAAGCUUUGACGAAGCAUCCCCCAUGCAUCAUUUAUUGGAGCAAUCCGGUGGCUAGGGCUGAAGAGGAUCUUGCAAGAGCGGUAACGGUGUCUGUGAUCAAUGAUGAACCACUGGCCGCGGUGGAGGAGGUGGCAGUGGUGAUCGCGGCCAGAAUUGAUGUUGCUGCCAGCUCCUUAGUGCUUCGCAGGCUUCUUCCUCAUGUUACCUGCCAGUCCUUCCUAGCUUGGCCUUGGUUGAGCAUCUGGUUGGGCUGCGGCAGCCAGUGAGCCUUGGUUGAGCUCAACUUCAGGCCGCGUUCUGCCGUUCUUGAUCGAUAUUGAGCUUUGUGGCAUACCACAUACUGAACCAUGUUUGGGAAACCUCUCCUGUGGAUCGUUUCUUGAGUCCUCAUGCUUGGGUUGAAUACGUGCAUCCUGAUACCCUUGGGCUUGUGGACCUAUCUUGCUUUCGGUGCUUGGCUUGGAGUACAGACCUGUUUGUGCUCCCCUCCUUAAGGCCUUGUUUGGAUGUAGUCGGAUUCGCAUCAAUCCACAUGUGUUGGUGUGGAUUGAAAUAGAACUUGAACUAAAUUCCACCUCAAUCCACUCCAACACAUGUGGAUUGAUGCGAAUCCGACAACAUCCAAACAAGGCCUAAAGGAACUCUGGAUGGUCGAGCCACCGACGGCCGUUGUUGAAGAUCCUCCAGUUAAAAGGGUUUUGGCUAACCCCUAUCGACCUUGGUAUUCUAGGUGCCAAGCCCUUCUCCCUCUGAUGGAGGGGAUGAUGACGUUGAUUUCACAAGACAGCAAUGACAUGUUCCCUCCCCCUCUCCACCAUCCAGCUCAGGUCUGGCGGGUGGUGAAGCUUCCAGGUUCCAGCCAUCGGUCCCGACGUUGCUGAUGUCGCACGUAUUGCUGAGUUUUCGGUCCCCUCGAUGGCUUCCUGUACAUUAAUGCGGUUUGAAGUGGACUCUGGGCCUAAUACUUUUGAGGGCAUCCUCAUCUCUAGCUCGGCAGAUGCGGCACCUCCUGGGCUGAAUUUGGGCCCUCGACUUGGGAGUGAUAUUUCCACUGGACUGGGUGAGCCUAUGGUUUGGGGCUCCCCCGGCCAGGCAACAGUGUCGUGCUUUUCCAUAAGCUCCGCUGUUGGCAAGGCAAUGGAUGGAGCGUCAGUUCCGGCCUCACCACACUCGCCUCAAUGCUCCCCUGUGCCUAUCAUCCCAGAGUCCUAUCUACUAGCACCUAAUCCUCCCCUGCCAGUGCCAGCAUCUGGCGUGGGACCUGCCUCUCUGUCGGCUGCCAGCUACUUGGUUCUGGUUUCCAUGUUAAUUAUAGUAAGCUCUUCACGCCAGAUGCUCUCUGAUUUCCAUGUUUGUGCUUUAGCGGCUAUUUUUGGCUAAGAAGUAGGAGAUGGUGAGUAGGUGCAAGUUGCAGAUGUCCUUACAAUGUUAUGGUUUGGCUCUUUGUUGGGGUCGAUCUAUAUCUCAGGUCAAAUGAAUCCUUCUUCUAUUCUAGUUUGGAAUGUUGUUUGCAAGAAACUAAGGCCAUGAAUAUAUCUCAGCAUCUGUUCUUUUCGGUCUUUUUUUUUUUGAACGCAAUGGCAGGAGCUCUGCCUUUCAAUUAAGUAGGAGAGCAAAAGAGUUUAUGUACAAGCAAAUAAAGAAAAAAGAAAGAAAAGUGUGGGUUCGAAUCGUGCUCCUGGCCAAUCAGACUAGAGGAGGUGUUCUGAUUGCUUGGAAGGGCUGUUCUUGCUAGGCAGUUGCAUCAAGUGUAGACACUUAUUCAGCUUUUGAUUUGUUUUCAGAACAACAGGGUCGCAAUUGGUGGUUUACUGGCGUCUAUGGGCCACAAAGAGAUGAUGAGAAGGCGCUGUUUCUGCAAGAGCUGAGGGAUAUCAGGGCCCUGUGUAAUGGACCUUGGCUCCUAGGUGGAGAUUUUAAUUUGAUUUAUCAGGCAGCUGACAAGAACAAUGCAAAUUUGGUUAGGGCAAUGAUGGAGAGAUUCAGGUGUUUUCUGGAUGACAAUGAUCUCAAGGAAAUUCCACUCUUGGGUCAUAAAUACAGUGGGUCCAAUGAGAGGAGAUCGCGUACUCUGGUGAGACUGGAUCAGGCUUUUUGCUGUGGUGAUUGGGAAAAUAUUUUUCCGUUUGCUGUCCAGCAAAGCAAUGCAGCUGGGGUCUCAGAUCACUGCCCACUCCUUGGUUUGAAAGUGAGCACUAGCGGCAAGUGUCGAUUCCAUUUUGAAUGUUUCUGGACCAAAAUGCCUAGAUUUCUUGAUGCUGUCAGUCUGAAUUGGGAGGCUCAGAUACAAUCUAAUUAUGCUGUAGAGCGCCUCUUUACUAAACUGCAGCAUCUCAGUAAGGGUUAGGAAAAUGGGGACAGCAGAAAGUAGGGAAUAUUAAAUCUUAGCUAGAAUUAACCAAGGAGAUUCUUCACCAUUUGGAAAUAGAAAGAGAUUCGAGGGCACUCUCUGAACAUGAGGAAUGGCUGAGAAAGAAGCUUAAAGUUCACUGUCUCGGUUUGGCUUCUCUAGAGCGAACCAUUGCACUGCUACGGUCUAGGAUACUAUAUCUUCAGGAAGGUGAUGCCAAUACUGGCCUUUUCCACCAACAAGCUAGAUAUAGAAAAAAGAAGAGUUUCAUCCCCAAACUGCAAGUUGGUAAUCAGGUGGUCGUCUCGCAAGAGGAGAAGCAGAAGGCAGUGGAUAAUUUCUAUGAGAACAUUCUUGGCAAGGCUAAAGAAAGGGAUUAUACUCUUGAUUUAGAUGAAUUGGCUAUUCAACACCAUGAUCUAUCUGAACUGGAUGUCCCAUUCUCUGAGGAGGAAGUGUGGGCUACUAUAAAGGAAAUGAACUUGGACAAGGAUCCUGGCCGGAUGGAUUCACAGGGAGGUUUUACAAAUCCUACUGGAGCAUUAUUAAUUGUGAUGUGCUGAUGUCGUUAGAUGCCAUUCAGAAAGGCCAUGUUUUCAAAUUCUAACUCCUGAACAUGCAUGGUACCCAGCUACCUAAGAAAGUGGAUGCGGUGGAAGUAAAGGAUUUUCGGCCUAUAAGCCUGAUCCAUAGCUUUUGCCAAAUUCGUGACUAAGCUCUUGGCUAAUUGGUUGGCCCCUCAUUUACCUUCCUUGAUCUCUGUAAACCAAUGCGCUUUUGUGCAGGGAAGGAAGAUCCACGACUAUUUUAUGGUGGUUCAACAGAUGGUCAAAUCUCUACAUAAGAAGAAAGAGGCACAUAUCCUUCUUAAGUUGGACAUUUCCAAAGUGUUUGAUUUUGUUUCUUGGUCGUUUCUCCUGGAAGUCAUGUGCAAGGCGGGAUUCGGCCAGUGGUUGCAGGACCUCAUUUGCCUGAUCCUUUUCACCUCUUCGAGACAAGUUUUGGUCAAUGGAGAGCCUAGGGACACUAUUUUUCAUCACCGCAGUCUCAGACUGGGAGACCCCCUAUCAUCGAUGUUGUUUGUUCUAGUAAUGGAUGUCCUGAAUUUCUUGGUCAAUUUUGCCACUUCGAUGGGUAUGUUGCAGCCUCUUGCCAUUCAGCAAGCACGACACCAGGUCUCCUUUUAUGCUGAUGACACGGUUAUAUUUUUUAGACAAUACAAUUUGGAUCUGAUCACUGUUAGACAUCUCCAAGAGUUCAGUCUUCCCUAUUCAGUGUGCUGAGGAGGAGUUGACACUCACAGCAAACAUCCUCUCAUGUCCCAUAAAGGCUUUCCCUUGUACAAGAGGUUUUGCUACCUUUAGUAGACAAGGUGGCAGAGUAUCUCCAUGGAUGGAAGGCUUCUCUAAUGAAUAGGGUUGGGUGGUUGGUCAUGGUGAAGGUCGUGCUUACUGCUGUCCCAAUAUAUCUUUUAAUAGCCUUGGACCUUCCGAAAUGGGUGCUUAAGGCUAUUGAUAAAAAGUGCCAAGGAUUCCUUUGAAAAGGUCUCCAAUAGGCCAAUGGUGGCAAUUGUGUGAUAGCCUGGGAAAAAGUAUAGAGACCACUGGAAUAUGGAGGCCUUGGGAUUCAUAAUCUUGAACUUCUUGGUAGGGCACUUAGGAUUCGGUGGCUCUAGUCGCAAAAGAUAGUGGCUCAUAGGCCUUGGGCUAGCCUUCCUGUUAGAAAUUUAGACAUUUUAAUGUUUGAUUUAAUCCAGAAAAUUACACAUAAUAAAGUGGUGGCAUAUAUGUGCACGUGUGCAAUUUUAUCGCUACUCAGAUUAGAGAUAAACAUUGCAAAUACUACUGUAGACAUACUGAAAAUAAAAUACAAUCGUUUAGGAUUGUACCCAGAGGGACCAGUGCCGAAGGCACCGGCGGCUCCAUUCGCACUAGUCGACAUAGUGCGUUGCUUAAAGUAGCAGACCACAGUCGAUGCAAGAAGAUGUAGCCGACCACAGUCCACCAGGAAGAAGACGAACUAGCCGAUCUCUUGACGCCACCAGGAAGAAACCGAUCCGAGGUAGCAGGAAGUAGCCGAUCUCGCCGAUUCCAGGUAGCGAGCAGUCGCGGAAGAUGCUCCCCAAAAACCUAAUUGCCCGCACACCCGAGCAGGUGUCUCGAUGCAAGGCGUCGGGGGCCUGCUCUCCCGAUCUCUUUGCGCGCAGAGGUUUGGGAUGGGGAUAAACCAGAGAGCAACUCGACAGGAAGAGAUGAGAGGAGGACUGAUGUGUUGUGUCUCGCAGAAGGAAAAAAUGACACGGGUAAGGAAUAUAUAGGCCAAAGAGGAAACGUCUGGUGUGCGCGUCUCGUCUCAUCUCGACACGCACACAUGCUCGCUCGCCUCGGCACGGCUCGGCGGCGCGCGUGCGUGGCACCCUCUCUCUCUUCCUCAACUUCUCUAUAGGAGCUAUCAACGGCCGCCUAUUUAAGUUGAGUUAACACAUGGUCAACAAUCAAUCCGGUAUUAAACUGUUUGCAUUAUAGCAUUUAUUAUGGGCCCUUGAAUUAAUCAUCAAAUAGAAUAUGGGCUUAAGGCCCACAUUAUAUUCAACACUUCCUAUCACUAUUCCUUAUAAAGCCCGAGCCGUCUUCAAUGUUGUAGUUGAUGCCAUAGUUGGAAAUGGAGAGGAAAUCUUGGUCUGGAUAGAUAGAUGCUUGGAGGUGCAUACCAUGGCUGAAAUAGCGCCUAAUAACCUAUUCAAAACAAUUCAAAAAUGAAUAGCCAAAAGAAGGAAUGUGGCUCAAGCACUACAUAAUAGAAGUUGGGUACAAGAUAUUAAGGGAGCUCAUACAGUAGAGGUCCUCCUGGAUUACCUCCACAUUUGGGAUAUUGUGGAGGAAAUUAUUUUGCAACCAGAGAUUCCAGACCAUUUUAGAUGGAAAUUAUCAUAUGAUGGUUCUUACAACAGUAAAUCUGCAUAUGCAGCCUUCUUUCAGGGAUCCAUCAAGUUUGGUUCUUGGAGAAGGAUUUGGAAAACCUAGGCUCCCCCGCAGCGUAAGUUUUUCAUCUGGCUGGUGUUCCACAAUCGGGUUUGGACAGCCGAUCGACUAGCGAAGAGGAAUCUUGCCCUUCCUGAGUCUUGUCCCUUAUGUGAUCAAGAAGAUGAAACAAUAAAUCAUUUGCUAGUGGGGCUGUGUUUUUGCUCGACAAGUCUGGUCCCUGGUUCUACAACAGUUAGGACUGCUGCAGUUAACAACACAGCCUACUGUGACCCGUUUCUCGGGUGGUGAAAAAGGUUAACUGCAGCUGUCCCCAAGGAAGUGCGUAAAGGCCUCAACUCCUUAAUAAUUUUGAUGGCACAGGAGAUUUGGAUUAUCGCAGCUCUUGCGUCUUUGAUAAUAAGAGACCAAGCGUUCAGGAAGUCCUUAGGGCAAUUAACUCUGAGGGAGGGCUCUGGUGCUCGGUAGGAACUUGUAUUUAGGUCGCUGCCUGCUAGAGCUUAACGCACGGAGGCUUUUGGUCGUUUCUGUUAUUUGUGUGGCGAGUCUGUAACUUAGUAUCCAAGGUGUGGGGUGUGUGUGUUGGGUCUCUUUGACCAUUUAAUAGUUUUUUUACCUUAAUGAAAUGAUGUGCAGUUCUCCUGCGCUGUUCGAGAAAAAAAACUGGAAUAACCUUUUUUAGAUGGAGGCAACAUAUUUCAUUGUUCUGCUGAUUGUGAAAUGUAAACUAGAGAAAAUGAAAACAAAGGAAGCUGAUAAAUUAUGUCCCGUACGUGUUUCUGAAACGUACCUGAAAGAUGCUUAUCAAGGCCUCCAUUACACAUAUACUCGAAGCAGAGCAUUCUUGUUUGCGCUUCAGCAACAAUGACUUUCCCGGUCGGUUGCUUUAUCAUCACCCCCUUUGAUUCAGCACAGUACCCUAGAAGCUGUAUUAUAUUUUGGUGUUUGAGAUCCAUCAGAAAAGAAGCCUCGUUCUCGAAGGAUGGGUGAUCACCCGCCAGAAUUAUCUCAUUAAACUUUUUGACAGCAAUAACUGAACCGCACCGGAGAAUGCCCUUCAUAGAAUUGAUGUUUUAUCCGUUCAUUAAUUAUUGCUGCCAACAUUUGAAGAUUGAUUGGAGCGAAAAGAAUCAGUCAUACCUUGUAAACCACUCCGUAGCCACCCCUGCCGAGUUCUCGCUCAAUGCAAAAAUCACGUGUCAUCAAUUUCAGGUAGUAUAGGGGCACAGAAAUUGGUCCUGCAGUUGGAUGCAGCAGUUUGUUCUCCAACUCCAGUAUCUCACUUUCAGUAGCUCUGCUGUCCAUUCCUAUAUAUAAGGAGCCAGCCUUAGGUGGGAAAAAUUAUACUUGGGUCAAACAUAGAUUGUUAUGGUAUUUUAAUUAUUAUACUGUUAUGAGCUGCUCCAACAUGUAAAUUACUUUAUCCGAUGUACAGCAAAACGAAGAACUAUAAUGCGACUCGCGAAUACAUAUGGCUACGAUAUUGUACGUGAGAAAACUAACUACUUACCAGAGUGGAUUUGUUAGAGCACGUAUGGACCAGCUCAACUCAUCAAUUCAUCAUACCUGGCCAGCACCCAAGACCAUCUCCUUGAGAUUUCUAGUCGAGUCCCCUAGAGUCCGUUUUUAAUGUUAAUAUAUGAGCUUCCAAUUCAAUAGAAAAUGGAACGUCACAGGCUCACGGCAGUAAUAUAUGUUCCCAACUGCUAACUGUACCGUCAUGAAAAGACUGCAAGAUGAAAAGAAUACUUACAUCACAAGACAGAAACCCCACCUGGACAAAAUUUGAACUGCGGGUAAAAAGUCGGUUCAAGUAGAAUGCCGAGCCAAAAAAAGGGUCUGAAGUCUGAACUUUGAAGCUACAGUUUAGAUACUCUAGUUAAUGGUGAGGCCACUGCAGUUACAAGAAGAUCAGCAUAGCCACACAAUGCAAAAACACAUAUUCUCCAAACCCACCUCUUGCAAACCGUUGUGUUAGUUGUUGAAAUCUUCAGUACCACCGUAAGAUAUAUGUUUGAGUUGUGCUGCUUGCAGGGAGAGGAGGAAACCACCAUUAGCAAAACUGAUGCUGCUGUCGCCAGGAGUCCGGAACAGAAUAAAUCAUGCAUCUAGAAGCAAGCUUACCCACCAAGAAGAGGAACGAGCAGGAUUCGAUUUGAUCACCCAAGUUGUUGAUUGUGAGAACACAACUAGAGGAAGAUAUCCCUGAUGACUAACUGGCAUGAAAACUCCAAAGAUCUUCAGAGUAGCACCGCAUCGGAAGAUGUGCGACUCUGAAGCGUCUGCUAGCUGCUGCUGAGUGCGUUUGCAUUGGGGAGACAAAACCGCCAUCAGCAAGUGAGUACGAAGCAAAACAAAUCUGAUGCUGCUAGCUGUUGCCAGUGGAAAGUAUCAGUACAAGCAGCCAGCUUAAUUACCUUACCAACCAAGAAGAGAAACUAAACCAGCAGGACUUGAUUGUGCUGCGUGAAAGCAAGAAAAGAACAGCUGCGGAGAGAGGUCGCCGGCGGCAGAGAUGAUGGAGGAGAACACAAGAACCGGUGGUUCGUUCUAGUGGUGGUGGACCUGGUAGUGAGAUGGUCAAGAGGAGCUGACAGCUGAGCAGUGACCAGUGGGGGCAGCUCCUCUAACAUACUGAACUACCACGUCCUGGGACGAAGUGGCGCCCGAAGCCUUUCAUUUCUGAUACAGCGGCGGGAAUCCGAUUCUCAUCCAGCGCCAGGAAACAAGCAGGAGGCCACACACACGACGGGAAUCUGACUCUGAGCCAGCGGCAGGAAUACGAGAAUCCGAGAAUCGAGAUCAGAACAUCUCUUGAGUGAAGCUUUCUGUGCAUAGGGAGAUGAAACCAGCAUCAGUGAGUGUCAGUGUGUCACUAAUAAGCAAUAGUGCUGCCAAAGGAGAAAAAACUGUCUACAAUUUUACUCACCAAGUAGAGAAACGAGCAGGAUCUGAUCUGAUCUGACUGUCUGCUUGGUGCUUUCUCUUGAGUUUGAUGCAUGCUUCUGCGUGCAGUACGGCAGCAGUGGAUCCGAAGAUCUCUAGAGUUUAAUCGAUGCUUCUGCGUGCAGGGAGAGAUGAAACUGUUGGAUUUAUUUUGGGUUAGACCCAUUUAGAUUUAAUAAAUCAAUAAACUCUAUGGUGUGUAAUUAUGGACAAUAUAUAUAUUGUACCAAAUAGGAGCAAGUCCAAGGGUUGGAGUGGCUGGCUGAUGGUACGGGAGUUUCAACUCAAUUAUGUGGGAGUUUCAACUCAUUAUCUGCGGGUGUUUCGAUAAUUAAUUGAGGGAGUUUCAACUCCGCGUGAAAACC
rnacentral:lncRNA from 1 species